UACGGAGGGUGCAAGCGUUAUCCGGAUUCACUGGGUUUAAAGGGUGCGUAGGUGGCUUGGUAAGUCAGUGGUGAAAGCCCGGAGCUCAACUCCGGAACUGCCAUUGAUACUGCUUAGCUUGAAUCAGGUCGAGGUGGAUGGAAUAAUACAUGUAGCGGUGAAAUGCUUAGAUAUGUAUUAGAACACCGAUUGCGAAGGCAGUUCACUAGGCCUGUAUUGACACUGAGGCACGAAAGCGUGGGGAGCAAACAGG
rnacentral:rRNA from 1 species